rnacentral:rRNA from 1 species
GUAAGGAAUAUUGGUCAAUGGACGCAAGUCUGAACCAGCCAUGCCGCGUGAAGGAUGAAGGUCCUCUGGAUUGUAAACUUCUUUUAUCUGGGACGAAAACGGGAUUUUUAUCUCAAUUGACGGUACCAGAGGAAUAAGCACCGGCUAACUUCGUGCCAGCAGCCGCGGUAACACGAAGGGUGCAAGCGUUACUCGAAAUUACUGGGCGUAAAGCGUGCGUAGGUGGUUGUUUAAGUCUGAUGUGAAAGCCCUGGGCUCAACCUGGGAAUGGCAUUGGAAACUGGGCAGCUAGAGUGCGGUAGAGGGUAGUGGAAUUCCCGGUGUAGCAGUGAAAUGCGUAGAGAUCGGGAGGAACAUCUGUGGCGAAGGCGACUGCCUGGACCAGCACUGACACUGAGGCACGAAAGCGUGGGGAGCAAACA